rnacentral:rRNA from 1 species
GACGAACGCUGGCGGCGUGCAUAACACAUGCAAGUCACGGGGGCCAGCAAUGGCAACCGGCGAACGGGUGCGUAACACGUAAGCGACCUACCUCGAUGUGGGGCAUAGCCGGCCUAACGGCCGGGUAAUUCCGCAUGUGAUCCUUGAGGGGCAUAUCUCGGGGAUGAAACCAGUAACGGCAUUGAGAGGGGCUUGCGGCCUAUCAGCUUGUUGGCGGGGUAACGGCUCACCAAGGCGACGACGGGUAGCUGGUCUGAGAGGAUGGCCAGCCACAUUGGGACUGAGAAACGGCCCAGACUCCUACGGGAGGCAGCAGUGGGGAAUCUUGCGCAAUGGCCUAACGGCUGACGCAGCGACGCCGCGUGAGGGA